ACCUGGCUGACUUGGUCGGUAGAGUAUGUGACUCUUGAUCUCAGGGUUGUGAGUUUAAGCCCCACGUUGGGUG
rnacentral:tRNA from 1 species